rnacentral:rRNA from 1 species
CCCUUAGAUGUCCGGGGCCGCACGCGCGCUACACUGAAGGAAUCAGCGUGGCUUUCUCCCUGACCCGAAAGGGUUGGGAAACCCGUUGAAUCUCCUUCGUGAUAGGGAUUGGGGCUUGAAAUUGUUCCCCAUGAACGAGGAAUUCCCAGUAAGCGCGAGUCAUAAGCUCGCGUUGAUUACGUCCCUGCCCUUUGUACACACCGCCCGUCGCUACUACCGAUUGAACGGUUUAGUGAGGGCCUCGGAUUGGUCUCGGCCCGCUCUUUACCGGGCGGCGCCGUUGGUCGAGAAGACGCUAGAACUUGAUCGUUUAGAGGAAGUAAAAGUCGUAACA